GACGUAGGGUCCGAGCGUUGUCCGGAGUUACUGGGCGUAAAGGGCGCGUAGGCGGUUAUCUGCGUCACACGUGAAAGCCCCUGGCUCAACCAGGGAGGGUCGUGUGAAACGGGGUAACUGGAGGCAGAGAGAGGCUGGUGGAAUUCCCGGAGUAGUGGUGAAAUGCGUAGAGAUCGGGAGGAACACCGGUGGCGAAGGCGGCCAGCUGGCUCUGACCUGACGCUGAGACGCGAAAGCCAGGGGAGCGGAACCGG
rnacentral:rRNA from 1 species